UCAUCGGUGAUUCCGUGGUAGAAUGCUCGCCUGCCACGCGGGCGGCCCGGGUUCGAUUCCCGGCCAAUGCA
rnacentral:tRNA from 1 species